CUCCUCAAUUCCUCAUUCAGACUCUGCCCCCGUCUCCCUCCCUCGUCCCGCCGCCAGGCCGCCCGCCGGGAAGCCCCUGCGCCGCCUGCCCUCCAGGCUCCAGAUUCCCGCGCCCGCGCCCGCGCCUCUCCGGCUCUCCGCCACACGCGUUGCCCGGAUCUCCUCUCCGUCACCAGUGACCAGCGCCGCCCCGCCUCUCCGCCAGCAGCAGGGAGCCAGAGACGCCCGACGGCCCGAGGCUCGACUCCGGCCAGUCCAUCAAGUGGUUCAUGGAUUCGUCCGAGACGCCCGUGACUGAUGGCACCUUGGCAGCGGUAGAGACACAAGCAUCUCAAAGACUGCGAGCGAAAACUGAUCCGGCAUGGGGGCACGCCCAGGAAGUUGAAGUUGUUGUUGAGGGAACAAAGAAGAAGUGGAUCCGCUGCAUGUACUGCAACGAGUUGUUCAAAGGUGAUGGUAUUCAUUGAUUGAAGCUUCAUUUGGCUGGAGAAAAGGGUAAUGUGAAGCAAUGGAGGAUUUUGCAGGGAGGAAGAGGAAGGCCGAUGAAGAUGCAGCCCGUGUUAGAGCCAGUAUUGAAGGGGCUGAAGAUUCAACUCAAGUAGUUGCUGCUGCUCAACGAUCCACUCGAGCGAAAAAAGGCAAAGCUGUUGCUGCCUCAAGCAUGUCAACAACAAACCGUGCAGCAGACCGAUUCUUUUUAUCUAGAGGCCAACCAGGUGAUCAACAAACAAUGAAGAGUGUGCUAUAAUCUCAAGAAGCAUUAGACAGAGUUGAUCUCAUUAUCAGCAAAUGGUUUAUUGAUGCAUCUAUUCCUUUCAAUGCAACUACUUCUAGAUACUAUCAACCUAUGAUCAACGCAAUUGCUGGUGUUGGUAUUGGUUAUAAAGGGCCAAGUAUGUGGAGAAUGCGCGGCCCUUUGCUAGCAAAGAAUGUUGAAGAAACAAAGAAGUUUGCGGAGAGCUACCGCAAAGCAUGGAAGGAGAGUGGCUGCAGUAUUAUGGCUGAUGGUUGGACUGAUAAAAAUUUGCAAAAGCUUGCUAUUCGAGUCUUAAGCCAAACUUGUAGUGCUUCGGGCUGUGAAAGAAAUUGGAGUUUGUUUGAGCAUAUACAUUCCAAAAAGAGAAAUAGACUUGAGCAUCAAAGGAUGAAUGAUAUUGCUUAUGUUCAAUGCAAUUCGAGGCUUCAACAAAAGUAAUUUUACUAGUACUUUCUGUUUAUUUGUUCUCGUUUAUUUGCUGUUUUUAAUGGCUGCAACCUUCCCUCUCCCUCCAUGCCAUGUGUUACCCAAAUCUCUACAAGAAACUAUGACCCUAUUUGUUUGGAGGACAUUGGCAAGUUUGCCGAAGAUUGGAUUUUUGAAGAUGGUCCUAAGUGCUAAAUGGGGAAGAAAUUGGUGUAUACCGGAAAAAUUUGAAAUCAGAUGACACAAAGAUACGCAAUUCCAUGGCCAUGAAUGAAAUGUGUAGAUGAGGCUCAAUGGAUUGAUGAAGACUAUGACAUUGAUGCUUCUCAAGAAACUGAUGAAGCAAACAUGCCAGCAGCUGACGAAGACCAAAGUGGUGGAGUCCAAGAUCAAGAUAUUGGAGAUGGACGUGAUGAGGAUGAAGAUCAUGUUGGGAAUGUGACAGAUUGAACCUACCAAUUCCAAUAUCGCCGAGUUUGUUGCUUUGUUUCAUGAAGUCUCAGUUUGUUGCUUUGUUUAAUGCAGUCUCAGUUUAAUUAUUCAGCUAUUGGCCUAUGUGCCUGAUUGUUUGUUGCUUGCUGUCAUUGUGUGAGACAUUGAGUGCUUGCUGUUGCUGAGACAUUGAGACAUUGCUUGCUUGCUUGCUGUCAUUGUUUGAGAGUUGAGACUUGAGAGUUUGAGAAUAUGUGGUUGGAUAUGUGCCUGUUUUCUUUUACUAAAAUUUAUUGUCAGCACUGUUAUUCAUAUUGUCAUGAGAGAGACUGCUGUUUUUCUAUUUUUUUUGCAGUAUUUAAUUAAAUAUAUAUUAUUUUAUAUCUUAAAAAACCGGACCGGUCCAACCGGUGAACCGGCAGUUCGACCGAAAAAACUGGAAUCGACAGCCUCGUCGGUUCGUGGUCCGGUCCGGUUUUUCAAAACUAGGUAGCCAACAAGGUCCUAGCCAACAAGGAAGUACACGAGAUGGUUCUAGCCAACAAGGAAGUACCUGAGGGAGAGGUCACCAACGAGGUACUCGUAGCCAACAAAGAGGGACACGAGGGAGACAUACAUUUCAAGCUCCAGGCGUCAACCGGGGUGGUGGUAUGAUUGGAUACCUAUCAGGACCAUUUCCGUAUGGCCGGUACUCAACCUCCGAAGGCGCCACCUAAGUGGGACGAUGAAGAGGAGGGGGACAAGGGUGAGAGGCCAGGGUGGCGGAAGGCAGCUGAGAUGAAGGUGAAAGAGCAGGAAGCAAGGGAGAGGGAGAUGGAAAGAAUUAUGAAGCACAAUCAGGAAGUUCAAGAGAAUUCUCGAAUGAGAUUUGAGGCGCACAUGUACAGUUGGAACUGGGAAAUUUGGUUGAAGCAACAAGCUAAGCUUAGGAAGAAAGAACAAGUAAGGAAAUUAAUUGAGUCAUGGGAAAGGUCAGAGAAAGAAGCCGCCAAGAAGAGGGAGAGGGAGGAGAAGGAAUGGAAGGAGAAGCUGGUUCGUGAGGCUAGUCGCGCAACGGCACUCGAGGAGGAAGCUGAGCUGAAGGAGAGGAAGAGGAAGGGAAAGGGUCCUUGUUCGACCCAAUACACUCUUGUUUAGCAGUUUAGUUCAGCAAUGCCGUGUGAUGACCUUCAUGUGAACAUUACUUUAAUGUCGAGAACUACGUAUUAGAAUUUGUAAUCUGUAUUGAACUAUGAGUUGUGAUGCCCCAUUUGAUUCAGGACAUUUUAGAUUCCAAGUGUGAACAUUUUAAUUGUGGUCCA